rnacentral:lncRNA from 1 species
GUGGAUGAGGGAAAACCCAGUUCUGCUAGAAGAAAAUUGGAUCGAGAUAAUCUCCACCUUUAUGUCUGCAAUAACUUUAUAUUCGUUCUCGUCAUAGGAUCAUGCAAUUGCAGAUUCCAAGACAAAAAAUGCAUCCAAAUCAACUGCAAAACCAUUUAGAAAACAUUGGUCAUCUUGAUCAUCUCUCCAGUCAUUGUUAGAUAAACAUUGUAAACGACAAGGUGAUGGAUGAGGAAAACAGAGACCAUGUGAAACUAUAUACUUCAGAUACUGCAAUAGGCAUUUAACGAUUGUCCAGCGCAAAUCAGUAGGAUAAGUAUAUUAAUUGGCAAAUUUUGUUCAUUGAACAAAUCAUAAUGGACAAAGCUGCAAACUGCAGAGCCCCAACAACUAGUCAAUAUUUAUCAGUGUUUGCUAGAAAUUUUCCAGAAUCUUCAGUCUGGGGAGGAAUAAAUUGGCAUUGGAGUUACACAAGGUCUGGAAACUGUCACUUAGCUCAACUUCUUAGAAAGCUAGGAGAAUUCAAAGAAAAGAAUGUUAUUGUUGGUGAAGGCUCUCUCUCUCUCUCAACACAUGAAACCCACAAUUACCCACAACAAAAAUCAUGAAUUAAGUCAUGCCCUACACCAAUUGUUCACGAAAUCUGACUUUAACGCAUGCGGCUUGAGAAGCUGCAUGUUGAGAAAACAUUUUUUGAACAAAAUUGUGAUGCCCCAGGAGUGUACUCGUGCCCGUCACUUUGUUGGCAUGCACCUCUCUUGACUCACCCCUUAUAUGGUUAACCUUUUGUUUGAAUAAAUUAUUAACCUUUUAUUUUACAGGAAUUUAUUCUUUAAAAGGGAUGAACUAAUUAAUGAGCAAGCCACAUCAAUAUAGAGAACCGAAGGAAGAUGAUUAGAUAAAAAAGAAAACACUAACAUCUCUAAGCAGGUAGAGGAAACGUCGAAGGACAACGGCGCGGAAGGGAUCAACAUUUCAUUCAAACAAAACACAAAAUCAAGAACUGGAAAUAUGAUCACACUUCACUCAAACAGUGUUUAGGAAGCUAGAACGGUAAAACGUGGUACAUCACAUAGACUGCAAUGACAAGACAAAUAAUGGAAACAAAAGCAAAAGCAUGCAGAAAUAUCCAUGUUGAUCAAAAAUAUAAAAGCGGUGAGAUUUAUACCACAAUUUAGAUUGUUCCUUUUGCUUCAAGCUGGCCGAAUCUCAGCAUUUUCUAAGAAGCCGUAAAAAAGCACUCUCUCGGCUUUGGUUUCCUUCCAUUCUCCGCUAUCUUCUCCCCCUUCUUUUUCCUCUUACACAGAAUCCCUGCAA